UUGUCCACACUUCCAGGUAAAGGUGUCUGCACAUUUCCUGGUAAAGGUGUUUGAGCACUUCCCGGUAGUGGUGUCUGAAUGGGAGUUUGCAGUGGUGUAGGAGGGAAGAGUAUCUCAGCAGUAGGAGUCUCAUAUUCCUCCGUUCCCUCGUACGGUACAUUAAGGUCGUGUACUGGAGUAAUAGGACCGCCAGGUGCCAGCUUAGAAGCAGAUGACCUCUCUAUUGGACCGGAUAUCACACCCGCUUGCAUCAUUUUCAUCUCCCAAAUUGCUUGGAGUUCAUUGAGGACACUCUCGCCAGGCCCGCCGUUGUUGAUGAACUCAUCGCGGACUUUGGUGAUGACGUCUUCAAUAACGUGGAUAUAGACCGUGCUGGUGGUCGACGAUGUCGCCAUUUCGUCAAUUCUCUCCUCGGGGAAAUCUCUUUCGAUUGGACUAAUUAUUUCUUUUCCUUUAAUUCUAUCGGGAAAAUUCGAACAGAAAAUUAAAACCUCAGGGAAAAAGCUGAAGAAAGAGAUUGAUAGAGAAGGAAAGGCCAAAGGUUUGGGGGUGUGAGGGGGUGGGUCUGUGUACAGAAGGGAAGAGAACGGCGAGAAGGGAGAUGACAGAGAGAGAAGGUAGCGGAC
rnacentral:misc_RNA from 1 species